ensembl:misc_RNA Metazoa_SRP Metazoan signal recognition particle RNA
GCUGGGUGUGGUGGCUCACACCUGUAAUCCCAGCACUUUGGGAGGCUGAGGUGGGGGAUCACUUGAGGCCAGGAGUUCGAGACCAGCCUGGCCAACAUGGUGAAACCCCAUCUCUA